rnacentral:rRNA from 1 species
UGGCGACGGGUGAGUAACGCGUGGAUAACCUGCCGUAUACCGGGGGAUAACACUUAGAAAUAGGUGCUAAUACCGCAUAAGCGCACGGCUCCGCAUGGGGCAGUGUGAAAAACUCCGGUGGUAUACGAUGGAUCCGCGUCUGAUUAGCUAGUUGGCGGGGUAACGCCCACCAAGGCAGCGAUCAGUAGCCGGCCUGAGAGGGUGGACGGCCACAUUGGGACUGAGACACGGCCCAAACUCCUACGGAAGGCAGCAG